rnacentral:rRNA from 1 species
UACGUAGGGUGCGAGCGUUGUCCGGAAUUAUUGGGCGUAAAGAGCUCGUAGGCGGUCUGUCGCGUCGAUCGUGAAAACUUGGGGCUUAACCCUGAGCUUGCGGUCGAUACGGGCAUCACUGGAGUUCGGCAGGGGAGACUGGAAUUCCUGGUGUAGCGAUGAAAUGCGCAGAUAUCAGGAGGAACACCGGUGGCGAAGGCGGGUCUCUGGGCCGAUACUGACGCUGAGGAGCGAAAGCGUGGGGAGCGAACAGG